AGGCAAUACACCAAAAGGGUUUCAAUCAAUUCUAAAAUAAUCUGCAAAAAUGAAUCUUUUGGCGUUAGUAAUGGGUCUGUGCCUCAUUUGCAGCGUUUAUUCCGCACCACAAUACCCUAAAGAUAUCUUUUCUCAUGAAGAUGGAUUUUGGGGUUGAAGUGAACUUGCUUCAUAACAUAAAGUACAAAACUAAUUUGAUAAAAGAGCUGUAAUUUAUUAUACUUAAAGUGCGAAAUAAACAUAUGUUAGUUUUGUAA